rnacentral:sRNA from 1 species
ACGGGGCGUGGUGGCCCACGCCUGUCAUCCCAACGGUUUAGGAGGCUGAGGCAGGAGGAUCGCAAGUUAGAGGUCAGCCUCAGCAACUCAGCGAGACCCUGUCUCUA